GGUUUACUCCUUGGCGCUUGCGCGCUGUUUUGAUGAAGAUUCGCACCUCUAUCAAAACGGGUAACCCCACCUCUUGGCUAGGCCUUGCUGUCGGAUCAAGUCUGAACUUCUACAAUUUACACCAAUGCCUCGCGAUAAAGGCGUGCCCAACGGCCGUGUAGACGCCCCAACCGUUCGGCUUGCUGUUC
rfam:Burkholderia gladioli BSR3 chromosome 2, complete sequence.